AGAUCUCAGGGUCUCCAGGAGUGCCAAAGUAUUCGUAUCCAACGAUCUUCUAUGAUACUUUUCCAACCUGGAAAUUUCCAAGAGAGAGCUUGCCCGAUUGGGUCCAGCGCCUCGUGUAGCAGAUCUUUCAUGAACGCCCUGGAGAGAGGAAAAAAAAAUAAAAAAUUCUAUAAAUAACACUUUCAUUCAAAUGUACCCUGGAACAGCG